rnacentral:lncRNA from 1 species
GAGAAUUGAAAGCAGUAGCUUUCAAUCAAAUUGCUCUCUCUCUCUCUCUCUCUCUCUCUCUCUCUCUCUCUCUCUCUCUCUCUUUCUUAGGAUUUUAAAAGAAUGCUGGCCUGGGCAGCCAAGGCUCUCUCCUAAACUCUUCCACUGUUUUUCUUUGCUCUCUGAUGUUUUGAGAUGAAACCUGUUUUCUGAGAGUGUUUUCAUCUCUCCUUCUGCCCCUUCCUGGCCUUAGAGAAUUCCGAGACCUAUGGGCCCAGGACAAGUGCCAGCAAGCCUGUGCGUUCAUCUGCCAGGCUCCUGCAUGCCUGCUCUGCCAUGCUUUCUACAGUCAACUCAGAGCCCCAUGAGAACAUUCUAACAUGGGCACUGCAUGAGAGAGCUACAUCAGAAACAGCUGCCUUUCUGUGCUUUCCAGUCUGGUGUCAAUCAGCCCUGGUAAGCCAUUAUCUGAGGAACUUCUCUAUGUCCACCACAACCCUUGGGUCACCAAGGAUGUAUCCAGGCUCAGAUAGGGCUCCAGGACCAAGCUGCACUGAAAGAUUCAAGGAUUUAUCAAAUGAACCUUCUAUUCUCAUACCAGUAGUCAACAGAUCCACUUACAAGUUCCCCCCACUAUAGACAGCUCCACCCACUGCUGUGGCUCUCCGUCUUCGUCCUGUUUAUACCUAACUUAUGCCUCUAUGCUGCCCUCACAAAAGUGCUUUCUUGCUGGGCACAAGAGGUUGGGUACCUAG